UACGUAGGGUGCAAGCGUUGUCCGGAAUUAUUGGGCGUAAAGAGCUCGUAGGCGGUUUGUCGCGUCUGCUGUGAAAACUCGGGGCUUAACUCCGGGCCUGCAGUGGGUACGGGCAGACUAGAGUGCGGUAGGGGAGACUGGAAUUCCUGGUGUAGCGGUGAAAUGCGCAGAUAUCAGGAGGAACACCGGUGGCGAAGGCGGUUCUCUGGGCAUGUUCUGACGCUGAGGAGCGAAAGUGUGGGGAGCGAACAGG
rnacentral:rRNA from 1 species